AUUGAACGCUGGCGGCAGGCCUAACACAUGCAAGUCGAGCGGAUGAAGGGAGCUUGCUCCUGGAUUCAGCGGCGGACGGGUGAGUAAUGCCUAGGAAUCUGCCUGGUAGUGGGGGAUAACGUCCGGAAACGGGCGCUAAUACCGCAUACGUCCUGAGGGAGAAAGUGGGGGAUCUUCGGACCUCACGCUAUCAGAUGAGCCUAGGUCGGAUUAGCUAGUUGGUGGGGUAAAGGCCUACCAAGGCGACGAUCCGUAACUGGUCUGAGAGGAUGAUCAGUCAACAUGGAACUGAGAAACGGUCCCGACUCCUACGGGAGGCAGCAGUGGGGAAUAUUGGGCCAUGGGCGAAAGCCUGAUCCAGCCAUGGCGGGUGUGUGAAGAAGGUCUUCGGAUUGUAAAGCACUUUAAGUUGGGAGGAAGGGCAGUAAGUUAAUAACUUGCUGUUUUGACGUUACCAACAGAAUAAGCACCGGCUAAAUUCGUG
rnacentral:rRNA from 1 species